ensembl:lncRNA
CAUCCUUGCCCGGGCUGGGACCUUGGGGCCUGCUUGCUGUUUCCUCUCUGGCCUGCAGUUUACAGAGUGUCUUUGGCCAGCACAGUACUGGCUGCCGAACAGGAAUGGCAGCAAAAAAGCCCCAAACAAACAAAACUCCACAGAACUGCCCAGCCCUGCCUCCUUCUCCCUCUCCUUAUUUGCCUUUUGUCCCUUUCCCUGUCCUAGCUCCACCCAUGACUCUCUCCACCUCUUGGGGGUCAUCUGAUCCAGGCCACUGACUCUGACCAGGGCUCCUUUCCCCUAGCCAGGAGGAUCCCUACCCUCACUGAGCACUGGAUGAGACCUUCUCCCGGCCUCGGACAGUGAGAUUUGCACCCAGAUCUUCUGCCAUAGAAUCGAGUGUCCCGCCCAGGGUGACAGGAAAUGAAUACACUCAGUCCGCAAGUGGCUGAUGGAGGAAGUGACCAGAGGACUCAGCCUCCACUCUGCUCCCUGUGGCCUCCCUGUCUGAUGGUGCAGUCAAAGAAGCUGGAAGCUCUACCCAUUCUUCAGACAAGAAGGUCCUGGCUACUGACCAAUUUGCUGCCAGCUGGAAAGAUGACAUCAACUUGAAUGAUCAGAACAGAUAGUUCUCAUUGAACAGAACAAUUUUCUUUCUAUUGAAGAAAAUUUAAUGGGACAUAAAAAAAAUUUAGUGGGACAACUAAUAUAGAACUUAAAACAAUCUACAAGAACAAAAGUACUUCUAUGAGAAUUCAACAACGUAUUUCUAAAGAUUAUCUGAGAAUAAAAAUUAUUUGACAGCCAGGGAUUUAGCUCAGUGAUUCUGCUGCCUGCCUCACAAGUGCAAGGUCCCAAGUUCAAUCCCCGGUACAAAAAUAAAACGAAACAAAACAAAAAUAAUUUGGCAAUUUAUAAAUAUUCCAAAUUGAAAAUCCAGUAGAUGAAGUCAAAAGUAGAAUAAAUAAUUCUGGGCCAUAGAGGAAGUCAUUUAGGAGAUUAAAUGGAGGAAUUAUCUUGUAAUAUUGGACAAAAGCAUAAAGAAAUUGAAAUUAUGUGUGAAAUGGUAAGAUCAAGGCUGUCAAAGUUAGAUCUUGUAUCUGAAUAUUUGUUCCAAAAGAAGAGAAAGGAAUAUAAGGAAUAAAACCAAUAAAGAAAGAAACAAUAGAAGAAAACUUGUGACUUAAAGAAAUACUUGAGUAUUAAGAUCAAAAGGAAGCUGGGCUGGUGGUGCAUACCUGUAAUCCUAGCACUUGGGAGACAGAGGCAGGAGGAUUACUGCACAUUCAAGGCUAGCCUGGGCUACAUAGUGUGUUCAAGGACAGCCUGAACUACAAAGUGAAACCUUGUCUCAAAAAACAAAACAAAAAAAGAUCAAAAGCAUUCUUUGAAUGUCUAGCAAGAUUAAUAAAAAUAAUAUCUAUCUAAUUAUACUCUGCUGCAAUUUAAAAUAAAAAAGUGAAAAUUCUAAACAAAUCCAGACAUAAAAAACAACCAGAAACAAAAUUAGUUAUCUGAAAAGAAAAAAAUAAUCAGAAUGUCACUGGAUGUAUCUUCUGCAACUUGGAAAACUCAAGAACCAUGAAACAAUACUCAUAAUUUCUGAUCUAAGAUUCUAAGCCAAAAAAUUAUUUACAUAUGAGUGAAGACAUUUUCAAAUAUAUAAAGAUAUCUAUGAACCCUUCCUUCCUCCUCCCCUUUCCUUUCCUUUCCUUCCCUUCCCUUCCCUUCUCUUCCCUUCCUUUUCUUUUCCUUUCUCUUUCCCUUCCCUUUUUUACUUUCUCCCUUUCUCACUUCUUCCCUUCCUCCCUCCCUUUCUUUUCUUUUUCUUUUGCAGUGUUGGGGAUUAAAACCAGUGUGCUCAGCCUAGGGAUUUAGCUCAGUGGUUUUGCUGCCUGCUGUGCAAACGCAAGGACCCGAGUUCGAUCCCUGGUAUAAAAAAAAAAAAAUCGCCAUAGGUCUAAUCCAUAUUACUACACUCUUUUGACAGUGAAAUCUGGGUUCAAAUUUAACUUGCAAAAUGAAAGUAUCUAUUAGUAAAUUUGAGUUACAAAAGCUCCCAAAUACAGGGAGAAGAAACAUGAGUAGUUACCCAGGGUCAGGUAGAGAGGGGCAUUUAGGAAGUAAAGGGACAACUUUCACCCUCCACUCCCUGCACCUCAUUCUUCUUUAAUUUUUGAAUUCUUUUUAAAAACAAUGACACUGC